UACAGAGGUAGCUAGCGUUGUUCGGAAUGACUGGGUGUAAAGAACAUGUAGGCGGUUUUGUAAGUUGAAUGUGAAAUCCUUCAGCUUAACUGAAGAAUUGCAUUCAAUACUGCAUUACUUGAGUACGGGAGAGGAAAGUGGAAUUUCUGGUGUAGCGGUAAAAUGCGUAGAUAUCAGAAGGAACACCUGUGGCGAAGGCGACUUUCUGGCCCGUAACUGACGCUGAGAUGUGAAAGCUAGGGGAG
rnacentral:rRNA from 1 species